UCAUUCUCAAGUUCCAUCGGA
rnacentral:miRNA from 1 species